GCCUCAGUAGCUCAGUUUCAGAGCAUCGGUCUUGUAAUCCGAAGGCCGGAGGUUAAAAUCCUCCCUGACGC
rnacentral:tRNA from 1 species